AGCUGCAAUGAAGACCACGAGGACCGCCGGAGACUGCCGGGAGCCAGCAGGGAGAAGCCGAGGGCCAGCAGCAGGAGCAGGGAGCGGGGCCCUGCUGCUGCCAGCCUGGAGAGAGCCCGGAUGUCCCAUCUGCUGUCCCUGUCCAGGAGAGCUGCUCUGCCUGGAGGAGGAGACCGAGGGAGCGGCUUCAAAGAUGGGGCAGCUGAGAUUCCUCUGCUUCGAGUUCCAUUUAAAGAGUCUGGACUUGCACACAGGCAGUGAUAAUUACAUGGAUAUUUACAUAUGUGGGUUGCUAUUUGUAUAGGUUUAUUUCUAUGUGUAUGUUGUUACAUUUAUGUACGUUUAUGUGUGUAUAUAUAUAUACAUAUAUAUUUAUAACAUAUGUGUAUAUUUGUAUCUAAAUAUCCAUAUUUAUUUCUGUAUAUUGUGGUGGUUAUAUAUGUAUUACUUUCUAUUUAACUAUGUAUGCCGUUGUUUAGUUGUAUAAUUCUAUCUAUUGAGUUCUUGGUACAGGGUUAUUUAGAGAGAGAUACUGAUAUUUUUGUAUUCCUAGAUGGGCUUUAUCCUUGUAGUAAUAUGUAAUAAAUUAAGUUGUUCAGUACCUAAUUAAUCUUUGUGUAUAGUAAGUUGUAGAGGUUGGCAAUAAAUUUUUUUAACUGAAGUUGGUAUUUGUAUAUUUUUACAUAGCAUUGUGGUACUAAUGUAAUAAAUUCCUGUUUUUAACCUAAA